rnacentral:rRNA from 1 species
CUAAGGUAGCAUAAUCAAUAGCCUUUUAAUUGAUGGCUGGAAUGAAAGGUUAAAAUCAAGAACAAACGUUUUAAGGGGUUAAUUUGAACUUAAGCUAAAAAUAAAAACGUUUUUAUUAAUCUUAGGGACGACAAGACCCUAGAAGCUUUUAUGGUUUUCCAUUUUAGUUGGGGCAACUUUUAAAGAAAUCUAUCUUUAUUUACAUCUCUUUUUACAUUUAACAAGUUACUCUAGGGAUAACAGCAUAAUUUAGGUCAAGAGCCCUUAUUGAAACCUAAGUUUGUGACCUCGAUGUUGAAUUAAACGUAACAUGAGGUGAAGAAGCUUCAUAUCGUAGUCUGUUCGACUAUUAAAAAUUUACA